GUGGCCCUACGGGGCGCAGCAGUGAGGAAUAUUGGUCAAUGGGCGCGAGCCUGAACCAGCCAAGUCGCGUGAGGGAGGACGGCCCUACGGGUUGUAAACCUCUUUUGCCGGGGAGCAACGGGCGUCACGUGUGGCGCCACUGAGAGUACCCGGAGAAAAAGCAUCGGCUAACUCCGUGCCAGCAGCCGCGGUAAUACGGAGGAUGCGAGCGUUAUCCGGAUUUAUUGGGUUUAAAGGGUGCGUAGGCGGUUUUUUAAGUUAGUGGUUAAACGUCGGGGCUUCACCUUGAUUUGCCAUUAAUACUG
rnacentral:rRNA from 1 species